AGAUCAAUACUGGCCAACACAUGAUGGGACAUUUUUCUUGACCCUCUCCAAUGUGAAUUACUUCCUUUUAUAUGGAAGAUUGUGAGCCCUUUGAAGAACUGAUGGAAGCUAUUGGACAGUAGAAGACACAGAGUGUACAUGCAGAAUAACUGUUGAUUGUGCUGGGAGUGCAACAUCUUGAGAUAAGAAGGAACUGCCUGGAACAGUCCAGGGUCUCUCCCUGUCCCUCCUAGAACAAGAUGUCCUGCAACACUUGUGCUCAGUGAGUCAACUUCCCCUAGGUAUAAAACCUAGAGUGGAGCAUCUUUUGGCGUCCCUCGGCUGUGGUGCUGCCUAGGGCAUGUGCAGAUGGACUCUACCC
rnacentral:lncRNA from 1 species